CCAGAGAACUUUCCAGAGAUGGAUUGGUGCCUUCGGGAACUCUGAGACAGGUGCUGCAUGGCUGUCGUCAGCUCGUGUUGUGAAAUGUUGGGUUAAGUCCCGCAACGAGCGCAACCCUUAUCCUUUGUUGCCAGCGGUUCGGCCGGGAACUCAAAGGAGACUGCCAGUGAUAAACUGGAGGAAGGUGGGGAUGACGUCAAGUCAUCAUGGCCCUUACGAGUAGGGCUACACACGUGCUACAAUGGCAUAUACAAAGAGAAGCGACCUCGCGAGAGCAAGCGGACCUCAUAAAGUAUGUCGUAGUCCGGAUUGGAGUCUGCAACUCGACUCCAUGAAGUCGGAAUCGCUAGUAAUCGUAGAUCAGAAUGCUACGGUGAAUACGUUCCCGGGCCUUGUACACACCGCCCGUCACACCAUGGGAGUGG
rnacentral:rRNA from 1 species